rnacentral:rRNA from 1 species
CUGGAGACUUGCCCAUUGAUACUGUCAGUCUUGAGUACGGUCAAGGUAGGCGGGAAUGUGUAAUGUAGCGGUGAAAUGCUUAGAUAUUACACAGAACACCGAUUGCGAAGGCAGCUUACUGGGCCAUUACUGACGCUGAUGCACGAAAGCGUGGGGAUCGAACAGGAUUAGAUACCCUGGUAGUCCACGCCGUAAACGAUGAUCACUCGCUGUUGGCGAUACACAGUCAGCGGCUAAGCAAAAGCAUUAAGUGAUCCACCUGGGGAGUACGGCCGCAAGGCUGAAGCUCAAAGGAAUUGACGGGGGCCCGCACAAGCGGAGGAACAUGUGGUUUAAUUCGAUGAUACGCGAGGAACCUUACCUGGGCUUAAAUGUAUAGUGCAUGAUGUGGAAACAUGUCUUUCCUUCGGGACUCUAUGCAAGGUGCUGCAUGGUUGUCGUCAGCUCGUGCCGUGAGGUGUCGGAUUAAGUUCCAUAACGAGCGCAACCCUUAUCGUUAGUUGCCAGCGGGUCAUGCCGGGAACUCUAACGAAACUGCCGGUGUAAACCGUGAGGAAGGUGGGGAUGACGUCAAAUCAGCACGGCCCUUAUGUCCAGGGCUACACACGUGUUACAAUGGCCGGUACAGAGGGCAGCUACCUGGAGACAGGAUGCGAAUCUCGAAAGCCGGUCUCAGUUCGGAUCGGAGUCUGCAACUCGACUCCGUGAAGCUGGAUUCGCUAGUAAUCGCGCAUCAGCCAUGGCGCGGUGAAUACGUUCCCGGGCCUUGUACACACCGCCCGUCAAGCCAUGGAAGUUGGGGGUACCUGAAGUCCGUAACCGCAAGGAGCGGCCUAGGGUAAAACUAGUGACUGGGGCUAAGUCGUAACAAGGUAAC